GCUGGGAUGGCUCAGUCAAUAAAGCAAGACACUCCUAAUCUCAGGGGCAUGGGUUCGGGCCCCAUGCAUUGCA